AAAAUCCGAAAAUUAAAUUCAUAAAUGGUAAAAUCCUUUACGUACACACUUGUAUAAAAUUUGAAAAAUAAUAUUUUCUAAUUAUUGAUUGAAUGUAUUCAAACAAUUAAUCACAAGUAACUAUCUAAAUUGGUGAUAUUUGGCAACAGUGAGUAGAUCUGGUUUAUUUAUGUAUGUUUAUCUUAGACAAGGAAAAAAGAGAGGACGGGUAACACUCAUUUAAAACACACGUUCCAAAAGUGAAGCCAGUUUUUGGUUUGUUUGUCACCAGAAACAUGGCGGUCACGUCAAAAAUAACAAUGGGUUGCCAGUGGUGGGUGUUCGUUGAAGGUUAAAAUUUCAUAAAAAAUAAAGUAAAUCAUCAUCUAAAAUUCGUAAUAAAAACAUAUGUAUGUAUUGAAACAUAUGUACGUAAUAUGAGCAACUUAAUAAAACAUUUACCGUACACAAAUUCUUCAUUUUAAAUACAUUUCAUGUUUUUAUUUUAAAUACUCAAUGCAUAACAAUACCCCAAAGAUACGUCGAUGAUCAAAAUCUCUGGUGUCAGUUUGGCUUCACUUUUGGUCAUAGGAUUACUCGUCCUCUCUCUUUCCUUGUCUAAAGUCCACUUUACAUCAACAAUAAAUUGGACAAGAAAUUGACCAAGUUAUUCAAGGCCAAAUUUGACGUGUAAAAGCACACUUUGACAUCUAAGUUUGUUCGUUAUAAACUUCACGUGAAGAAAUUGACGAAAAAGAAAAUUGUUCUAUUUUUUCAUUUUAUUCGGCGUGAAUUCAGUGUCACCAACCUGUGUCCAUUUGGCGGGAAGUGGAAGUAGAGCUUUUUGUUUAUUAUUAUUUGUUGAGGUUGAGUCUUUCAUGUUCAUGACAACCUAAAAAUUUUGAUUGGAAAAUGCAUAUAAGAUAAGGGGGUGGAAAAAUGGAAAUUAGUGGCUUUUUUUGCAGUUCUGUCUGUUAGUUUUGCGUUUUGCUCUGGCUGGGUCUCUUUUGUUUAAACAAUUAUAAUCAGCUGAAAGUGGUCUACAAAACAACCAGGAAGGAAACGUAUUAUAGCCUUGUUGUGGCUAUGAAAGGCAAAAGAAAGAUACACCUAUAAAAAGUGUAUUGACUAGUUGGAAGAAACUCCACAUUGUCGAUGCAUAAUAAGAUAUUACUUUAUAAACAAAUAUCAAGACCUAGGAAUGGAACCUGGAUAAUAUAGUCAUCAAGAAGAUAGCAGGAAGUCAUGAGCAACAACUUCAUAAGUAUGAGAAUAUUGAGGAAAUCCAGCUCCUCAUAUCUACUACUGGACAAACUAGAAGAUUGAAGAGGACAAAGCCUUUUGAACUAGUUUGAGUGAUAAGUGAUAGUGAAAAGCAGAGCGUAGUGCUUGUGUGCCUGUGUAUGUUAGAAUAGUGCACGAUCUUGUUAGAUUAGAUAAGAGACGCUAUGGGGUAAGCUCUUCAUUUUAAGGAACAGUAGUAAUUUAGGUUAAAUUAAAAUUGCUCAUUGGUCAGUUAUGACCAGAUUGUAAUUCUCUGAUGUUUGGCAAAAAGGGCUUAAGUCAGAAUUGCACAUCAAUAAUGUUUUGAUGAUUUCUGGACCAUAAAAAAAGUGUUGCAGACUUAAACUGUAUGUACCAAUAAAAAGAGCCGAUUUUUCUGGUCCAGAAAUCAUCUAAACAUUAUCGAUGUGCAAUUCUGACUUAAGCCCUUUUUCCCAAACAUCAGAGAAUUGCAAUGUACAAUUCAAUACAAACGAAUCAUCAUCGUAGUGAUGAUUAUGGAAAAAAAUAUAUGACAAGAUUUUGUGCAAUAAAAAUGUUUAUAUUUA